UAGUACGGCGAGUGAAGAGGGAAGAGCCCAAGAUUGAAAGCUGGCGUCUUCGGCGUCCGCAUUGUAAUCUCAAGAAGUGUUUUCCGCUUCGGACCAUGCCUAAGUCCCUUGGAAAAGGGCAUCAUAGAGGGUGAUAAUCCCGUACAUGGCAUGGAGCGCCCGAAGCUUUGUGAUACGCUUUCUACGAGUCGAGUUGUUUGGGAAUGCAGCUCAAAAUGGGUGGUAAAUGCCAUCUAAGGCUAAAUAUUGGGGAGAGACCGAUAGCGAACAAGUACAGUGAUGGAAAGAUGAAAAGAACUUUGAAAAGAGAGUUAAACAGUACGUGAAAUUGCCAAAAGGGAAGGGUAGGAGGUCAGAGAUGCGUCUUGGGAUUCAGCCUUGCUUUUGCAUGGUGUUUUUCCCAAGUUGCAGGCCAACGUCGGUUUUGGGCACUGGAGAAGGGUAGGAGGAACGUGGCACCUCUCGGGGUGUGUUAUAGCCUCCUACUGGAUACAGCGACCGAGACCGAGGAACGCAGCGUACUCGUAAGAGCGGGCCUUUUGGCACCUUUACGCUUAGGGCGUUGGCAUAAUGGCCCUCUACCACCCGUCUUGAAACACGGACCAAAU
rnacentral:rRNA from 1 species